GAAAACUGUAAUUUUAAAAUUCUUAAUCAAAAAUGAAUUAAGUUCAAAAAAAAAUAAAAAAUCUUAAACCGUAUUCUCUCUGAUUGAAGGACGAAUAUUAGAGGAUUUGGAAUAACUUCUCGGUGGUCAGAACUAACGGCGGAGGACGGCAGUGACAAGGCCAAGCCUUGAUUCCGACUCUUCACGGGUCGUUUCUCUUCGGCUAUGUUUAUUGUUCAUCUUUCUAAGACUUUAAUUUCUCCAAAAAACAAUACUAUGAUUAAUUAAUUUGUGGGUGCUCUUCUUAGGUCUUUCGAUUUAGUACUCUUUCCAAUGAGUUUUAACUUUAUUUCUGAUGUCUAUCCAGUAUUUCUGCAUACAUGAAUGCUCUUAUGACGACUUCUUCUGAAUUUAGUUUUAGAAAUUUCGUCAGGUAAGACGAGCUCCAUUACUCCAUAACAAUAAUAGGAGUUUCACAAUAACAACAUCAUGUACAAACUACACAUUUUUUAGAUUUUAUUAUGAUUACGUUUACAUACACCAGGUGUUUGAAGAAGUUCAACUGAGAAUUUUUUUCAUUGUUGAGCCGGAAUCUUUCAGUUUUCUAUACUUUUUAAUUUCUUCCAUGGCUAACUUUCUAAGUUCUUUCCCUUAUGUUAAUUUAGUUAUUUGCCUUUAAGGUCAUAUUCAUAUGGGCUGUUGCAUGUAGGUAAUUCUCUGCUAAAUAAGAAUUUUACUAUUUUAACCUAAGAUUUGAAAUUGGGGUUUCUUAGAAUUCAAAUGAAAGUUGCAAAAUUAGGAGGGUUUAGAAUUGAAUUAAUCUCUUAAGUACAAAAUGCAGAUAGUCUUAUUUGUAGUUCAAGAAUAACAAAUGGACAAAGUCUACAAUGAAGCUGCUUGAUAGACCUAUGGACGACUCAUAUAAGGAGUUGAAUUUUCUUUUUCUGAGAGAAGUUAUAGGAAUUUGUAGCAACUUUUAUCUUUCUUAUCGAUGGUUAUGAUAUUUGCUUUCAAUUCUCCUAGUUUUUCCUUUGUUGACUGCUGUAAGAUUAUUUAUUUGAAAAAUAAGUGAUGAUCAAAUUUCCACUUCAUUUCUUCAAUUUGUUAACUAUAUUCUAGGUAUACUAUAACUGUGACGCCAAACUGUGUUCUCUUGACUAUUGAGAAUGUUGAUCUCAUUUGCUAUACUCGAUGAUUAUAUUUUAUUUUUGUAGGUUUAAUGACUAACGAAAACACAUAUUGUGUUUUCUAACUUAUGCUUUUUGGCAGCUAUCAGGCAUUGGGCGUAUUGGGAUCUAGAAAUAUUUUGUGAUGAACGUACAAGAAAAUCCUCUUUGAAUUUGCCAAAGAUCUUUAGAACUCAUUUAUUUCUCUCAGGGGUGACUUGCUUUGAUUUUGGUGCAUUUCAUGUAACAGGCUUGUAUGGGAUCGAAAUAUGGGUGUCCCAUCCUUAUGGCGAGCAACAAAUGUUGUUGGAUUGUAAGUGGCUAUACAUAUCCUUCUCCUUUAAGAUCAUAGUAUGGGUUAUCGCGAUUGAUUGGACUAGUGCAGAGCAGCUUCUGAUUCGGAGAUUUGGUGAGAUCCUAGCGUUCGAAGUUGCCAAUUUCCAUCCAUGCCAUAUCAAGAAUAGUCUUUACUUACUUUCGAAGACUGUCUGUACUCAUAUUGUAUUUGUAAAAGUCUUGUACUUCUGUUUUGGUUUAGAUGCUCAAUUACUGACUGAUGACAAGUCUUGGGGUGGUUUCUUG